rnacentral:lncRNA from 1 species
AUGUGCCCUGCCCCUGGGCUGCUCCCAGGCCUGUGGCCAGAGGCACCAGCGGGGUGGACUCGAUCCCCCGACCCCUUGCCCACUAGCCCCGGGCCUGGCUGGUGCCUGUGCGUGCUUCACUGGGCGUGUUGCGGUCCAUCAGGCCUGAGGGUGGUCUGGGCUCUGGGUGAUGUCCUGCUGUCUGUCCGCAGGCACAAGCCACAGCAGUGUCCGAGCGCCACGCCGCCACCCUCCCGUGCUGCACAUGGUGCUGGAGGCGCUGCAGGCAGGGGAGCAGCGCCGGGGCACCUCAGUGGCGGCCAUCAAGGUUUAUAUCCUGAACAAGUACCCUGCCAUGGAUGUCAUACGGCUCAAGUACCUGCUGAAGCAGGCCCUGGCCACAGGCAUGCACCGUGGCCUCCUGGCCAGGCCCACCAACUCCAAGGCCAGGGGGGCCACCGGCAGCUUCAAGGUGAGCCUGCCUGGGGCGAGGGGGUAAGGGGACAGCCACAGGGUGAGAAACAUUUAGCCUCAGGGUUCGAGCUGCCGGUCCAGCUCUCCUCCUGGCCUCUGUGUGCUGUUUCCCUGCUGGAAGGCCUUUCUCCUAUUUUUCCCUCUUGUUCCUCCGGUGUCUUCUCGGAAACACCCUGUCCUCCGGGAAGGCUGGCGUGUGUGCUCCGUCUGGGCCCCCACACAGCCCUGGGCACCCUGCUGUGUCCACCUUCCUCGCCAUGGGGUGUUCAGUACCCAGGGACUGUCUCACUUGUGUUCACUUCUGGGUCCUUGGCAUCCACAGCCCCUUCCUGGAAUUCCUCACCACGGAUGAGGCUGACCCAACCUGGGGCUCUGGAAGGUCAGAGUUGGGGUUUGCUCCCCAUGUUCUCUGGCUCCAAACCUGGGGUCCCCAAACCAAGGCUGGCACUCCCCCUGAGCUAUCACGUCCUCCUCUCUCAAAGAGGAGGGUCCCAGAGGGGACCUGUCCAGGGUCACCCACUGCUGAGGGCAGAUUUGGCACAAAAUCAAGCCCCAGCAUCACGACUGCCAGCUGCCACCUGA